rnacentral:rRNA from 1 species
UACGUAGGGGGCAAGCGUUAUCCGGAUUUACUGGGUGUAAAGGGAGCGUAGACGGCAGCGCAAGUCUGGAGUGAAAUGCCGGGGCCCAACCCCGGAACUGCUUUGGAAACUGUGCAGCUCGAGUGCAGGAGAGGUAAGCGGAGUUCCUAGUGUAGCGGUGAAAUGCGUAGAUAUUAGGAGGAACACCAGUGGCGAAGGCGGCUUACUGGACUGUAACUGACGUUGAGGCUCGAAAGCGUGGGGAGCAAACAGG